ACGUUAGAUUUGACAACUUCCAAAAACUACAACGAUGGCAUUAGUACCGAAGCAAUCACUAUAGCUGAUGUCCAACAUACUAUCACCCAUCAAAUCAUUUUGACUGCAGUGGUGUUCAUAAUUUUUCUCUUAGUAUUGGCUAUAGUGAUCAUCUAUAGAAUUAAAGAUGAUGAAGCAGAAAAUCCUUUAAAUCAAUAUGACACCAACAGUUUAGACAAUGUGAUUGCCUAUGACCCAGCUGUACUGGAUAAAUUCCUUGACACAU